rnacentral:rRNA from 1 species
UACGUAGGGUGCGAGCGUUGUCCGGAAUUAUUGGGCGUAAAGAGCUCGUAGGCGGUCUGUCGCGUCGAUCGUGAAAACUUGGGGCUUAACCCUGAGCUUGCGGUCGAUACGGGCAUGACUGGAGUUCGGCAGGGGAGACUGGAAUUCCUGGUGUAGCGGUGAAAUGCGCAGAUAUCAGGAGGAACACCGGUGGCGAAGGCGGGUCUCUGGGCCGAUACUGACGCUCAUGCACGACAGCGUGGGGAUCAAACAGG